GCGCCAGUGGUGUAGAGGCAUCAUGCAGGAUUCCCAUUCCUGCGAGCUGGGUUCGAGUCCCAGCUGGCGCA
rfam:Pelodiscus sinensis unplaced genomic scaffold scaffold35, whole genome shotgun sequence.